rnacentral:tRNA from 2 species
GCCACUGUGGCUCAGCGGUAGAGCGGCAGUUUCGUAAACUGUAGGCCGGGGGUUCGAUUCCCUCCAGUGGCUCCA